rnacentral:lncRNA from 1 species
UAAUAAAUAAAUAAAUCUUUAAAAAAAAAAAAAAAAAAAAAAAGAAAGAAAGCUUUUCUCCCAGUGUUUCUAGCAAGUGUCUAUAGCUGUAUGCAUUUAUGUCUGGAUCUUCUGUUGCUCUACAUGUGGGUUCUUCUGCUAGCAACACACUGCUUUUAUUCCUGUAGCUCUGUCACAUAAACUUGAAAUUGGAUAUGUUGGUACCUCCAGCAUUGCUCUUUGUCCAGAAUUGCUUUAGCUAACUAAGCACUUUAUGUUUCUGAAUGGAUCUUUAAAUUUUUUCCAGUAUCUGAGAAGAAACGAUGUUGGCAUUUUGAUGGGGACUUCCUUGAGUCUUUAGAGUGUCUCUGGUUAAAAUGGCCAUCUUCAGUAUUGAUUCUUUCAACCCACAUGCAUGAGAUUCUUCCAUCUUUCAGUGUCUUCCCCUUGAGCACUGGGCCUCUUCGGGAUGUUUUGAAGUCUUCAUUACAGAGGUCAUCACUUCCUUGGUGGGAUAUAUUCCCAUUAUUUUAUAUUUAUGAUGGCUACUGUGAGUGGGAUUUUCUGUUUCAUUUCAACAUGUGUGUCCUUGGUAGAUAGGAGGGCAACAAAUUUCUGUAUGAUGGCUUUAUAUGCUGCCAUUUUACAGUGUUAAAAGAGUUUUCUGGUAGUCUUUGAGAUAUCAUGUAUAGAAUCAUAUCAUCUGAAAACAGACAGUUGGACUUCUUUCUACUUGUAUCUCUCUCGUUAAUGCCUCUUGUCUUACUCUCUAGCUUAGACUCCCAGCGCUACAUUUUAAAAGAGUGGUAAAGUAGAUACAUGUAUCUUAUUUCAGACUUUAAUAGAAAUGCUUUGAGUUUCUCCCUCCUUUAAUACCCUGUUGGCUGUGGAUAUGUCAUAUGUAGCCUUUAUUACGUUGAAGUAUGUCCCUUCUGUUCCAAGUUUCUCCAGGACUUUUAUCAUAAAGAGAUGUUGGGGUUUGUAAAAAGCCUUUUCUACAUCUGUUGAAAUACCCAUGUGAUUUCUGCCCUUGAGCCCACUGUGUGAGCUGUUGCAAUUUUGAUUUACCAUGUGUUGAGCCAUCCUUGCAUGCUUGGAAUUAAAAGGACUUGGUUGUGAUGAAUGAACUUUCUUAUGUUUCCUUACAUUUGAUUUGCAAGUAUUUUUAUUG